AUAAAACUGCGACAGAAGCACAUUAUUUACCUUAAGGUGUCAAAUGUUUCAAAGAUGUUACGUUCAAACUCCAUGCGGACGCUAAAUAGGAUAUUUUGGAAUAAUCAGGAAAUAUCAGUCUUAUGUUCACGUUUUAGGUCAUUGACAGUUAGACGACUGUACUUUCACUCAGCACCUGAUGAAAUUCUCCAGUUAAAAAUGAGAAGGGCAGCCAGUCCUUUAUAUCAAGGAGCAGCUGUAUCAGCUAUCAUCGACCAGUGUGGACACGAAGUCGGACACGGACAUGCUCUGCGAAGAUAUUUCUCAAAUACCUCUCUUGUGGGAAGUGAUGGAGCCAUUGGGAAGAUUGAAUCAAAACAUUAUCAAUUGGUUUACACAUGCAAGGUGUGCUCGACCAGGUCCACAAAGCGUAUAUCCAAGUUGGCCUAUCACAAAGGUGUUGUCAUAGUGACGUGCCCAGGAUGUGAGAACCACCACAUAAUUGCUGACAACUUGGGAUGGUUCUCAGACCUGGAGGGAAAGAGGAACAUUGAGGAGAUCCUGGCAGCCAAGGGAGAGGUGGUGAGGAGGAUAGAGGGAGGAGAAGCCUGGGAGAUCGUUGCAGAGGAGUCCCUGAAGGAAGGAGGAGGAAAAACUGACACUGACUCUGGGAAAUCAUAAGUGUGGGUGUGUGUGUGUGUGUGUACGACAAGAAGAAUGAGAAAGAGUGAGUGAAAAUGUUAAAAUGUGUUUUAGCUGUAGUGUAAUAAAGUUAUUUUUGAUUUCUAA